AAUUAUUUAUUUGAUGGUUUCUUACUACAUGGAUAACCGUAGUAAUUCUAGAGCUAAUACAUGCGUAAAGUCCCGACUCUCGCGGGGAGGGAUGUAUUUAUUAGAUUAAAAACCAAUGCGGCCUUUGGUCGGACUUGUGUUGAUUCAUAGUAACUUUUCGGAUCACAGGGCUUCACGCCGGCGACAGUUCAUUCAAAUUUCUGCCCUAUCAGCUUUCGACGGUAGUGUAGUGGACUACCGUGGCAUUUACGGGUGACGGAGAAUUAGGGUUCGAUUCCGGAGAGGGAGCCUGAGAAACGGUUACCACA
rnacentral:rRNA from 1 species